rnacentral:rRNA from 1 species
UACGUAGAUGGCAAGCGUUUGUCCGGAUUUACUGGGCGUAAAGAGCGCGCAGGCGGUUAUUCAAGUCGAAUGUGAAAGCCCCCGGCUUAACUGGGGAGGGUCAUUCGAUACUGUUUAACUUGAAGGCAGGAGAGGGUAGUGGAAUUCCCGGUGUAGUGGUGGAAUGCGUAGAUAUCGGGAAGAACACCAGUGGCGAAAGCGGCUCUCUGGGGGUUUUCUGACGCUGAGGCGCGAAAGCGUGGGGAGCGAAACCGG